rnacentral:rRNA from 1 species
GACGAACGCUGGCGGCGUGCUUAACACAUGCAAGUCGAACGGAAAGGCCCAGCUCUUGUGGGGUGCUCGAGUGGCGAACGGGUGAGUAACACGUGAGUAUCAUCCCCUUGUAUUUGGGAUAAAUCCAGGAAACUGGGGCUAUAACAGCAUAGGAGCUCUUGCACCACGUGGGGGGUUGGAAAGAUUCGGCGGUGGGGGAUGGACUCGCGGCUUAUCAGCUUGUUGGUGGGGUAGGGGCUUACCAAGGCUUCGACGGGUAGCCGGCCUGAGAGGGUGACCGGCCACAUUGGGACUGAGAUACGGCCCAGACUCCUACGGGAGGCAGCAGUGGGGAAUAUUGCACAAUGGGCGGAAGCCUGAUGCAGCAACGCCGCGUGCGGGAUGACGUCCUUCGGGGUGUAAACCGCUUUCGCCUGUGACGAAGCGUGAGUGACGGUAAUGGGUAAAGAAGCACCGGCUAACUACGUG